UGACUGGAGAGGUUCCUGUAAGGUGUCAGGAUGUGGCGGUGUAUUUCUCCAUGGAGGAGUGGGAGUAUAUAGAAGGACAGGAGGAUCUGUACGAGGAGGCCAUGAUGGAGGAGCCCCGGCCUCUGACAUCACCAGGUUCUGACUCCAGGAGGAGAG